rnacentral:rRNA from 1 species
UUCCGGUUGAUCCUGCCGGCGGCCACCGCUAUAGGAAUUCGAUUAAGACAUGCGAGUCGAGAGUCUUCGGGACUCGGCGGACUGCUCAGUAACACGUGGAGAACGUGCCCUUAAGUGGAGGAUAAUCUCGGGAAAUUGAGGAUAAUACUCCAUAGAUCAUGGGAUCUGGAAUGACCCAUGGUUGAAAGUUCCGGCGCUUAAGGAUCGCUCUGCGGCUUAUCAGGUUGUAGUGGGUGUAACGUACCCCCUAGCCAGUGACGAGUAUGGGCCUUGAGAGAGGGAGCCCAGAGUUGGAUUCUGAGACACGAAUCCAGGCCCUACGGGGCGCAGCAGUCGCGAAAACUUCACACUGGGGGCAACCCCGAUGAGGGAAUUCCUAGUGCUAGGACAUUUGUUCUAGCUUUUCUCUAGCGUAGAUAACUAGAGGAAUAAGGGCUGGGUAAGACGGGUGCCAGCCGCCGCGGUAAUACCUGCAGCCCAAGUGGUGGUCGAUUUUAUUGAGUCUAAAGCGUUCGUAGCCGGUUUGAUAAAUCCUUGGGUAAAUCGGGAAGCUUAACUUUCCGACUUCCGAGGAGACUGUCAAACUUGGGACCGGGAGAGGCUAGAGGUACUUCUGGGGUAGGGGUAAAAUCCUGUAAUCCUAGAAGGACCACCGGUGGCGAAGGCGUCUAGCUAGAACGGAUCCGACGGUGAGGGACGAAGCCCUGGGUCGCAAACGGGAUUAGAUACCCCGGUAGUCCAGGGUGUAAACGCUGCCGACCUGGUGUUGGAGGCCCUUCGGGGGCAUUCAGUGCCGGAGAGAAGUUGUUAAGUCGGCCACUUGGGGAGUACGUCCGCAAGGAUGAAACUUAAAGGAAUUGGCGGG